rnacentral:rRNA from 1 species
GACGAACGCUGGCGGCGUGCUUAACACAUGCAAGUCGAACGGAAAGGCCCUGCUUUUGUGGGGUGCUCGAGUGGCGAACGGGUGAGUAACACGUGAGUAACCUGCCCUUGACUUUGGGAUAACUUCAGGAAACUGGGGCUAAUACCGGAUAGGAGCUCCUGCUGCAUGGUGGGGGUUGGAAAGUUUCGGUGGUUGGGGAUGGACUCGCGGCUUAUCAGCUUGUUGGUGGGGUAGUGGCUUACCAAGGCUUUGACGGGUAGCCGGCCUGAGAGGGUGACCGGCCACAUUGGGACUGAGAUACGGCCCAGACUCCUACGGGAGGCAGCAGUGGAGAAUAUUGCACAAUGGGCGGAAGCCUGAUGCAGCAACGCCGCGUGCGGGAUGACGGCCUUCGGGUUGUAAACCGCUUUCGCCUGUGACGAAGAGUGAGUGACGGUAAUGGGUAAAGAAGCACCGGCUAACUACGUG